rnacentral:rRNA from 15 species
UUUGAGAGUUUGAUCCUGGCUCAGGAUGAACGCUGGCGGUAUGCCUAACACAUGCAAGUCGAACGAAUUUUUUUUUAUUUUAGUGGCGAACGGGUGCAUAAUACAUGAGAAUUUACCUCUGGGAGGAGAAUAACUACUUAGAAUAGUAUCUAAAUCUCCAUAUAAUCACUAGUUAUUAGUGAUAAAAUAGUGAGGGAGCAUAUUUUAUGCUGUUUACUGUCCAAAGAUAAGCUCAUGUCUGAUUAGCUAGUUGGUGAGUUAAUAGCUUACCAAGGUAUUGAUCAGUAGCUGGUUUGAGAGAAUGGUCAGCCACACUGGGACUGAGACACGGCCCAGACUCCCUUGGGAGGCAGCAGUGAGGAAUUUUCCGCAAUGGGCAAAGGCCUGACGGAGCGAUACCGCGUGAGGGAAGAAGGAUUAUGGUUUGUAAACCUCUUUUUUCAAGAAAGAAACCAUGACGGUACUUGAGGAAUCAGCAUCGGCUAACUCCGUGCCAGCAGCCGCGGUAAUACGGGGGAUGCAAGCGUUAUCCGGAAUUAUUGGGCGUAAAGGGCCUGUAGGUUGCUUAUUAAGUUUGUAGUUAAAGACUAGGGCUCAACCUUAGAAAAGCUGUAAAUACUAAUUAGCUAGAGUAUGGAAGGGGUAGGGGGAAUUUCUAGUGUAGUAGUAAAAUGCUCUGAUAUUAGAAGGAACGCCAGAGGCGAAGGCGCUCUACUGGAACAUUACUGACACUAUAAGGCGAAAGCUAGGGGAGCGAAAGGGAUUAGGUACCCCUGUAGUCCUAGCCGUAAACGAUGAAUACUCAGAUUCGGAAAAGCGUAUCUUUUUCGGAUUUCAAGCUAACGCAUUAAGUAUUCCGCCUGGGGAGUACGCUCGCAAGUGUGAAACUCAAAGGAAUUGACGGGGGCCCACACAAGCGGUGGAGCAUGUGGUUUAAUUCGAUGAUACGCGAGGAACCUUACCAGGGCUUAAAUGUAGAGUGACAGGGGUAGAGAUACCUUUUUCUUCGGACACUUUACAAGGUGCUGCAUGGUUGUCGUCAGCUCGUGCUGUGAGGUGUCGGGUUAAGUCCCAUAACGAGCGCAACCCCUAUCCUUAGUUGCCAGCACGUCAUGGUGGGGACUCUAAGGAGACUGCCGGUGUCAAACCGGAGGAAGGUGGGGAUGACGUCAAGUCAUCAUGGCCCUUAUGGGUAGGGCUACACACGUGCUACAAUGGACGGUACAAAGGGUCGCCAACCCGCGAGGGGGAGCCAAUCCCAUAAAGCCGUUCGUAGUCCGGAUCGCAGUCUGCAACUCGACUGCGUGAAGUCGGAAUCGCUAGUAAUCGUGGAUCAGCAUUGCCACGGUGAAUACGUUCCCGGGCCUUGUACACACCGCCCGUCACACCAUGGGAGUUGGUUGCACCAGAAGCAGGUAGUCUAACCUUC